rnacentral:rRNA from 1 species
AUUGACGCUGAGGCUAGAAAGCGCGGGUAUCGAACAGGAUUAGAUACCCUGGUAGUCCGCGCUGUAAACGAUGGAUACUCGUCUUUGGCGAUACAGUGUCAGAGACCAAGCGAAAGCAUUAAGUAUCCCACCAGGGGAGUACGCCGGCAACGGUGAAACUCAAAGGAAUUGACGGGGGCCCGCACAAGCGGAGGAACAUGUGGUUUAAUUCGAUGAUACGCGAGGAACCUUACCCGGAUUUGAAUUGCUGAGGACGGGAGCGGAGAAGCUCCUUCCCUUCGGGGCUUCAGUGAAGGUGCUGCAUGGUUGUCGUCAGCUCGUGCCGUGAGGUGUCGGCUUAAGUGCCAUAACGAGCGCAACCCCUGCCGCCAGUUGCCAUCAGGUAAUGCUGGGAACUCUGGCGGGACUGCUAUCGCAAGAUGCGAGGAGGGUGGGGAUGACGUCAAAUCAGCACGGCCCUUACGUCCGGGGCUACACACGUGUUACAAUGGGGGGCACAGCGAGCAGCUAGCGGGCGACCGCCGGCCAAUCUUGAAAUCCCCUCUCAGUCCGGACUGGAGUCUGCAACCCGACUCCACGAAGCUGGAUCGCUAGAAUCGC